UACAGAGGUCUCAAGCGUUGUUCGGAUUCAUUGGGCGUAAAGGGUGCGUAGGUGGCGCCGUAAGUCAGGUGUGAAAUCUCGGGGCUCAACCCCGAAACUGCACUUGAUACUGCGGUGCUCGAGUACUGGAGAGGAGAUUGGAAUUUACGGUGUAGCAGUGAAAUGCGUAGAUAUCGUAAGGAAGACCAGUGGCGAAGGCGAAUUUCUGGACAGUUACUGACACUGAGGCACGAAGGCCAGGGGAGCAAACGGG
rnacentral:rRNA from 1 species